rnacentral:rRNA from 1 species
AACGUAGGUGGCGAGCGUUAUCCGGAUUCAUUGGGCGUAAAGAGCUUGUAGGUGGCUUGAUAAGUUGGACGUGAAAACUCCGGGCUUAACUUGGAGAGGCCGUUCAAUACUGUCCGGCUGGAGGGUGUCAGAGGGAAGUAGAAUUCCUGGUGUAGCAGUGAAAUGCGUAGAUAUCAGGAGGAAUACCCGUGGCGCAGGCGGCUUCCUGGGGCACACCUGACACUGAGAAGCGACAGCUAGGGGAGCAAACGGG